GCGGGGACGGGCUGGGGGAGAAAUCGGACAGAAUCUGAGGGCAAUCCUCACACUGGGAACCAUUUGUCAGGUUUUGGGGGUCAUAAUUGGUCAUAAUAUGAGGGCAAUCCUCACACUGGGAACCAUUUGUCAGGUUUUGGGGGUCAUAAUUGGUCAUAAUAUGAGGGCAAUCUUCACACCGGGCAUCAUUUGUCAGGUUUUGGUGUUCAUAAUCAGUCAAAAUUUGAAGGUCGUGAGUUCGAUCCUCACACAAGGCACCAUUUGUCAGGUUUUGGGGGUCAUAAUCAGUCAUAAUCUGAGGGCAAUCCUCACACUGGGAACCAUUUGUCAGGUUUUGGGGAUCAUAAUCGGUCAUAAUCUGAGGGUAGCGAGUGCAAUCCUCACACCGGGCACCUUUUGUCAGGUUUUGGGGGUCAUAAUCGGUCAUAAUCUGAGGGUUGUGAGUGCAAUCCUCACUUGGGGCACCAUUUAGCAAAGUUUUGGGGUUCAUAAUGAGUCAUAAUCUGAGGGCAAUCCUCACACUGGGAACCAUUUGUCAGGUUUUGGGGGUUAUAAUGAGUCAUAAUCUGAGGGCAAUCCUCACACUGGGAACCAUUUGUCAGGUUUUGGGGGUCAUAAUGAGUCAUAAUCUGAGGGCAAUCCUCACACAAGGCACCAUUUGUCAGGUUUUGGGGGUCAUAAUGAGUCAUAAUCUGAGGGUCGUGAGUGCAAUCCUCACACAAGGCACCAUUUGUGAAGGUUUUGGGGUUCAUAAUCAGUCAUAAUCUGAGGGUCGCAAGGUCCAUCCUCACACCGGGCACCAUUUGUCAGGUUUUGGGGUUCAUAGUCAGUCAUAGUCUGAGGGUCAUGAGUUCGAUCCUUACAUGGGGCAUCAUUUGUCAGGUUUUGGGGGUCAUAAUCGGUCAUAAUCUGAGGGUCGUGAGUUUGAUCCUCAUACAGGGAACCAUUUGUCAAAGUUUUGGGGGUCAUAGUCAUAAUCUGAGGUUGUGAGUGCAAUUCUCACUUGGGGAACCAUUUGUCAGGUUUUGGGGGUCAUAAUGAGUCAUAAUCUGAGGGCAAUCCUCACACAAGGCACCAUUUGUCAGGUUUUGGGGGUCAUAAUCUGAAGGUCGUGAGUUCGAUCCUUACAUGGCACACCAUUUAUCAAGGUUUUAGGGCUCAUAAUUAGUCAUUGUAAUCUGAGGGUCGUGAGUUUGAUCCUCAUACAGGGAACCAUUUGUCAAAGUUUUGGGGGUCAUAGUCAUAAUCUGAGGUUGUGAGUGCAAUUCUCACUUGGGGAACCAUUUGUCAGGUUUUGGGGCUCAUAAUCAGUCAUAAUCUGAAGGUCACGAGUUUGAUCCUCACUUUGAGGCACCAUUUGUCAGGUUUUGGGGGUCAUAAUCGGUCAUAAUCUGAGGGUUGUGAGUGCAAUCCUCACUUGGGGCACCAUUUAGCAAAGUUUUGGGGUUCAUAGUCAGUCAUAAUCUGAGGGUUAUGAAUGCGAUCUUCAUACCGGGCACCAUUUGUCAGGUUUUGGUGGUCAUAAUCACUCAUUGUAAUCUGAGGGUUGUGAGUUCGAUCCUCACACCCGGCACCUUUUGUCAAGUUUUUGGGGUUCAUAAUCAGUCAUAAUCUGAAGGUCGUGAGUGCAAUCCUCACUUGGGGCACCAUUUGUCAGGUUUUGGGGUUCAUAAUCAGUCAUAAUCUGAGGUCGUGAGUGCAAUCCUCA